UUGAAUAUUCAUGUGAUUUCUGUGGACUUGAAGAUGAAACCAUCUCUCAUUUAUUUUAUCAUUGUACCUACAGUAAAACCUUUUGGAUUGAUGUCCAACAAUUUGUGCACGAGAAAACAGGAAGAACGAUCAGUUUCCAGGAAAAACAUAUUUUUAUUUAUUAUGAUGACCAGGACAAAGAUCUGUGCUUUUUUUGUCAGUUGAUCCUGAGCUUGGGGAAAUUCCAUAUUCACAAAAACAAAUGGGCCAAAUCCAAGCCAAACAUUGCACCCUUCAAAAAUGAACUGCUCCGUUAUGCUGCCACGAUCAAGGACAUUAAAAACAAGAAAGCUACCAAAACUUACUCCAUAAUGAAGAAAUUCUGUACCAUUGAACUGUAAGUCCUCUGGCUGUUGUAUGGUUGUGUUUUGUUUUCUGUUUUUGUCGUUAUUGUUGUGAUGUGUCUCUCGUUGGUUGUACUGUCUGUCUUGUUCAAUAAAAAAAAAAAAAAAAAAAAAAAAAAAAAAAA